CUAAAUUAUAAAUUAUAAUAUUGUUUUAACCCUGAUUUCUGACCUUAUACAUGUCCCCCUAAACUUUAUCUCCAAACCAAAUCAAAACUCCAAAACAUAAUUCAUAAAAUCGAUCUUUUUAUUUGAAACAGUUUUAAUUACUAAAUAAAACUAUAGAUCUUUUUUUGUGUCGGUAAGAACUAAGAACUGUAGACAAAAGUAAGAUAUAAGCAAUUAUCAUAUAUAUUCAAAAGAAAAUGGUUAAAAUAUCAUCUUAUUUCUGAUUGGGUGGUGCAUCAAAGGCGGAGAUUACAGUCUGGACCGUUGAUUAAAUUCAAUCUAAUGGUCCAGAUUGUUUCAUCUCUUACCUCUUCUUUUUGUUCUUUCUAGAUGUGUUCUCAUUUUCUAAUUUUUCGUUCUUUCUUACUCCUUCCUCUUGUAUCAAUAUGGUCUUCUUCCUCCAUACAAACAUCAUCAUACUAGACACGAGUUGAUGAUGGUGUGCUUAAUCUCUUAUCUCUAUUUUUACCAUCAUUAGUCUUCUACUUGCCCGUUAAUCACUUUCUUCCUCCCCCUUUCUCAUACGUCUCUCAGUUCGUACCUCCAUAAACGGAUUCACUGCAUUAGUCACCAGUCCGGUCCGUCGAACCCACGUCUCCUCACCUCAUCUCCAGAUCUCCCUUGCUCAAGCCCCAAAAUCUCGCCGCUCUCAGCUUCAGUCUCAAGUUGCAUCUUUUUCAUACCGGUCAACUCGUCACCGCAAUCUCAGCUUCAGUCUCAAUUAAAACCUCCUUCAACAGCUUCACUCAGUCACCGGAGUUGGUUUCGUUGGAGGAACUCACGUGCCCCUGCCUCCACCGGAAUGUCUAGAUCUCCUCCACUCAAGCCUCAAAAUCUCGCCGCUCUUCAAUCUGAAGUGGCUUCGUCAUCGCCGGUUAAGCUUCAGCUCCAACCAUACGUUCGGUCAUGACGGCGCAAGACUAUCCAAGACAUAAGUCUAGGUUAAUUUCAUUAGGUUAUAUGUGUAAACCAAAUGUGUAAACCAAUUUUAAUUUCCAAACCAGGUUAUUAUUUGUAAACCAUAAUAAAAAUAUUGUUUUAAAUAAAAAAAUUUGUUGCAAUUGUAUAUCAACCCCAUCCAUAUCUAAUCUGUAACUAAAACACAAAUUUAAUUAUAAUUUAUUUAACUAUUUUAUUUUAUUAAAUUU
rnacentral:lncRNA from 1 species